UCCCCUUCUCCAGCAGGAAGCCCCGAAUGCGGCCAUCUUCGCAUCGAGCCCACACUACAAACAGGUCGGCCACAGGUGAAUUGGUGAUCCUGGGGGAGGGACAGGCACACGUCUGAACCCCAGU